UACGUAGGGUGCGAGCGUUGUCCGGAUUUAUUGGGCGUAAAGAGCUUGUAGGCGGCUGGGUAGGUCCGUUGUGAAAACUCGAGGCUCAACCUCGAGACGCCGAUGGAAACCCUCCAGCUAGAGUCCGGAAGAGGAGAGUGGAAUUCCUGGUGUAGCGGUGAAAUGCGCAGAUAUCAGGAAGAACACCCGUGGCUAAGGCGGCUCUCUAGUACGGUACUGACGCUGAGACGCGAAAGCGUGGGGAGCGAACAGG
rnacentral:rRNA from 1 species